UGCGAAAGCGUGGGGAGCAAACAGGAGUUAGAUACCCUGGUAGUGCACGCCGUAAAACGAUGUCUACUAGCCGUUGGGACUCUUGAAGUCUUAGUGGCGCAGCUAACGCACUAAGUAGACCGCCUGGGGAGUACGGCCGCAAGGUUAAAACUCAAAUGAAUUGACGGGGGCCCGCACACAGCGGUGGAGCAUGUGGUUUAAUUUGACGCAACGCGAAGAACCUUACCUGGCCUUGACAUGCAGAGAACUUUCCAGAGAUGGAUUGGUGCCUUCGGGAACUCUGACACAGGUGCUGCAUGGCCGUCGUCAGCUCGUGUCGUGAGAUGUUGGGUUAAGUCCCGUAACGAGCGCAACCCCUAUCCCUAGUUGCUAGCAGUUCGGCUGAGAACUCUAGGGAGACUGCCGGUGACAAACCGGAGGAAGGUGGGGAUGACGUCAGGUCAUCAUGGCCCUUACGGCCAGGGCUACACACGUGCUACAAUGGCGCGCACAGAGGGCUGCAAACCCGCGAGGGGGAGCCAAUCUCACAAAACGCGUCGUAGUCCGGAUCGCAGUCUGCAACUCGACUGCGUGAAGUCGGAAUCGCUAGUAAUCGCGAAUCAGAAUGUCGCGGUGAAUACGUUCCCGGGCCUUGUACACACCGCCCGUCACACCAUGGGAGUGG
rnacentral:rRNA from 1 species